CUGAAACAUAAUUGGUUAAAGAUGAAUGAUGGGUUGGCAACUCUAUUCAAAACCUCAAAUGUUGAUACAACACUGAUGAGGAAAUAUAUGGCAAGGAGACAUUGGACAAUAGUAGCAAACACCAUCAAGAUCAUUUUUAUUUGGAGUAGAACAAAUAAAGAGAAGUUCCUGUUCGAUCCAGGAAACCCGUUGGAGAAAAUGCUUUAUAUGCAUAUACGGAAUGCGAAGCUUAAAGGAGUUUUCAG